AUGAACGCUAGCGGCAGGCUUAACACAUGCAAGUCGAGGGGCAGCAUACCCAGCAAUGGGUGAUGGGCGACCGGCGGAAGGGUGCGUAACGCGUGAGCAACAUGCCCAUAUCAGUGGGAUAAUCCAGGGAAACUUGGUCUAAUACCACAUAGUAUCUUUUAGAGACAUCUUUAAAAGAUUAAAGAUUUAUCGGAUAUGGAUUGGCUCGCGUGACAUUAGCUGGAUGGUAGGGUAACGGCCUACCAUGGCAAUGAUGUCUAGGGGUUCUGAGAGGAAGGUCCCCCACACUGGAACUGAGACACGGUCCAGACUCCUACGGGAGGCAGCAGUGAGGAAUAUUGGACAAUGGAUGGAAAUCUGAUCCAGCCAUGCCGCGUGCAGGAAGAAGGUCCUAUGGAUUGUAAACUGCUUUUGUACGGGAGCAAUAAGGGCUAUGCGUAGUUCGAUGAGAGUACCGUACGAAUAAGGAUCGGCUAACUCCGUG
rnacentral:rRNA from 1 species